UCUCAAUAUCAACACUGGCACGCAUCCUAAAAAAAAAACCAUAUUCAAUUGAAGCAAAUUUAUCGAGUGCCUUUCGAGCGCAAUUCCGAAAGGGUGAAACAACUGCGGCAUGAUUAUGCAGAGGUAGUUCUACGAAUGGAUGGAGAGGAGAUCCAGCAUGAGUUCAUUUACGUAGAUGAGGCUGGGUUCAACCUGACGAGAACACGAAGGAGGAAGAGUUUUUCUCGGCAUGGCGGUGGAAGGUAUAUGAUCACCGUCUCCAGGCUGAGGUACCCCUCCUCCAAGCCAUGGAGGAGGUCUGUGACCAGAUGGAGGUAGCAGCAAU